UACGGAGGGUGCAAGCGUUAUCCGGAUUCGCUGGGUUUAAAGGGUGCGUAGGUGGGCAGGUAAGUCAGUGGUGAAAUCUCCGGGCUUAACCCGGAAACUGCCAUUGAUACUAUUUGUCUUGAAUAUCGUGGAGGUGAGCGGAAUAUGUCAUGUGGCGGUGAAAUGCUUAGAUAUGACAUAGAACACCCAUUGCGAAGGCAGCUCACUACACGAUCAUUGACACUGAGGCACGAAAGCGUGGGGAGCAAACAGG
rnacentral:rRNA from 1 species